rnacentral:rRNA from 1 species
CGCCAGACUCCUACGGGAGGCAGCAGUGGGGGAUAUUGCACAAUGGGGGGAACCCUGAUGCAGCGACGCCGCGUGGGUGAAGAAGCGCCUCGGCGCGUAAAGCCCUGUGAGCAGGGAAGAAAAUGACGGUACCUGAAGAAGAAGCCCCGGCUAACUACGUGCCAGCAGCCGCGGUAAUACGUAGGGGGCAAGCGUUAUCCGGAUUUACUGGGUGUAAAGGGGGCGCAGACGGCGAUGCAAGCCAGGAGUGAAAGCCCGGGGCCCAACCCCGGGACUGCUCUUGGAACUGCGCGGCUGGAGUGCAGGAGGGGCAGGCGGAAUUCCUGGUGUAGCGGUGAAAUGCGUAGAGAUAUGGAGGAACACCAGUGGCGAAGGCGGCUUCCUGGUCUGCAACUGACACUGAGGCGCGAAAGCGUGGGGAGCAAACAGGAUUAGAUACCCUGGUA